rnacentral:rRNA from 1 species
AGCAGCCGCGGUAAUUCCAGCUCCAAUAGCGUAUAUUAAAGUUGCUGCAGUUAAAAAGCUCGUAGUUGAAUUUCGGGAUCAAUAUGUUGGUCGUGCCUCGGUACGUACUAGCUUAUUGGUUUCUCCCUUCUGACGAACCAUGAUGUCAUUUAUUUGGUGUUAUGGGAAAUCAGGACUGUUACUUUGAAAAAAUUAGAGUGUUUAAAGCAGGCUCACGCUUGAAUACAUUAGCAUGGAAUAAUGAAAUAGGACGUUUGAUUCUAUUUUGUUGGUUUCUAGGAUCGACGUAAUGAUUAAUAGGGAUAGUUGGGGGCAUUAGUAUUCAAUUGUCAGAGGUGAAAUUCUUGGAUUUAUUGAAGACUAACUACUGCGAAAGCAUUUGCCAAGGAUGUUUUCAUUAAUCAAGAACGAAAGUUAGGGGAUCGAAGACGAUCAGAUACCGUCGUAGUCUUAACCAUAAACUAUGCCGACU